rnacentral:rRNA from 1 species
UACGUAGGGCGCAAGCGUUGUCCGGAAUUAUUGGGCGUAAAGAGCUCGUAGGCGGUUUUGUCGCGUCUGCUGUGAAAACCUAAGGCUCAACCUUGGGCUUGCAGUGGGUACGGGCAGGCUAGAGUCCGGAAGAGGCGAGUGGAAUUCCCGGUGUAGCGGUGAAAUACGCAGAUAUCGGGAGGAACACCAAUGGCGAAGGCAGCUCGCUGGGACGGUACUGACGCUGAGACGCGAAAGCGUGGGGGAGCAAACAGG